CUAUGCCUGGCUCCUUGUAUGCCAUUUGCUAAGCCUAUCAGCGAAUUGGUGGCUUUCGCUAGAUGGCGUGCGAGGAGCCAUGCAUGU
rnacentral:pre_miRNA from 1 species